CCCAUUUCACUCCUCCUCCUCAUUGCUAUUGCCAACCCUUGGCAGCAGCACCAAAUUCCUCCCCACAGCAGUCCUCGUCCCACAGAGGCAACAAGGGUAGGCACAAGUACAGCAUGCUGGGAGGCUCAGAGCGCAACAAUCGCUGCAAGGCAUCCUUCUCAUUCUGCAGCAGCCUUCUGGAGAAGAGACGCAGACAUCCCCA
rnacentral:lncRNA from 1 species